CUGGGUCAGCCUAAAGCCUUCAUACAUACUUUAUUUUCUCAUUGAAUACUAAGCUAUUAUAAUAAUCAUUGUUGGCAUGAUUUUAUAAAGCAUCUUUUAAUGUUACAUGUGUCACAAUUUGAAGACCCCCCUGCAGAGAU